rnacentral:lncRNA from 1 species
GGAUGCAAAUCGAAUUCACGCAAGAAAGACCCCGAAAUAUCUUUUCAUAGAAAAACCACAUGACGUCAAGAACCCGCGAUUUUAUACAGAAAAUUUGCUAUAGGCGAACUGCGUCUGUUGAUAUGACCCGGUAUGGCUUUAUAAGCGAUAGCAAAAUUCAUCCAGUCAACUUAUUGCUGAAACCUCUUCGCCAGCAGUUGGAGAAAAUUUGUGCUAAAGUUGUUCACGGUCCAAGAAAACCUUCCCCAGUUAAAGGAAAGAACAAUCUCAAAUUACGAAGAGUUACAAAACACAAUAAAAGAAAACCCAAGAAGGACAAAAAUUACUCAAAAAAGAAAUUAAAGCUUCAAAGUAUUAAAUUAAAGAAAAAAAUAUGAAUACAUACAUUAAAUAAAGCGCUUAUCUAAUAAUUAAUUCAUUAUUAUUUUGAGAUUAAACAUCCUAUAAACUAGAAUUCCAUUGCAUUGUGAAAGUCUUUUACACGAAUAAAGGUGACACUGUGCAAUUUCCUUAGAUAUCAAUUAUAAGUCUCGAUAUAACCCUGUAAAAAGUAAAAAUUA